rnacentral:rRNA from 1 species
GUUAAACGGCCGCGGUAUUUUGACCGUGCAAAGGUAGCGCAAUCACUUGUCUUUUAAAUGAAGACCUGUAUGAACGGUGGAACGAGGGCUUAACUGUCUCCCCCUUCAAGUCAAUGAAAUUGAUCUCCCCGUGCAGAAGCGGGCAUAACAAUACAAGACGAGAAGACCCUUUGGAGCUUGAGAUGUAAGACCAACUAUGUCAAGAAGCCCUAAAAGGAUUAAACUAAAUAGUAACUGGUCCUCAUCUUCGGUUGGGGCGACCACGGGAGAUAACAAAGCUCCCACGCGGACUGGGGAAACCCCAAAACUAAGAGAGACAUCUCUAAGUCGCAGAAUAUCUGACCAAAAAGAUCCGGCUUCCUGCCGAUCAACGGACCAAGUUACCCUAGGGAUAACAGCGCAAUCCCCUUCCAGAGUUCAUAUCGACAAGGGGGUUUACGACCUCGAUGUUGGAUCAGGACAUCCUAAUGGUGCAGC